GGGGACUUGGACACUCCAACACCAGUCUGAGGGCUGAGAAUGGCUGUGUGCACUAUGGGGUGGAUCCCUCUCCUUCUUGUGUUCCUCUCUCACAACACAGGUUCCCUCUCCCAGUCUGUGCUGACUCAGCCACCCUCCUCCUCUGCAUCUCCUGGAUCCACAGCCAGACUUGCCUGCACCUUGAGCAGCGACAUCAGUGUUGGGAGCUACAAUAUGUAUUGGUACCAACAGAAGCCAGGGAGCUCUCCCAGGUUUUUCCUAUACUAUUACUCAGACUCAGACAAGAAAUUGGGACCCGGCGUCCCCAGUCGAGUGUCGGGAUCCAAAGAUACAUCCACUAAUACAGCGUAUUUGCUCAUCUCUGGGCUGCAGCCUGAGGAUGAGGCAGACUAUUACUGCCAGAUAUAUGCAAGUAGUGAUAAUCACAGUGACAGAGGCCAGCGAGGAAGUGGAACAAAAACCCAUAACAGCAUAGUUUCCAAGUCCCUAUUAAAUUUACAUUUGUGGUUAUUAAAUUUACUGUUUGUACAAUAG